CUGUAGGCAGAGAGUAGACAAGAGUUCCCUCCCCAGGGUGAUCAGUGCAGAGAUGUAUCACAAAGCCCCUGUAGGCAGAGCCUAGACAACAGUUUCAUCACUUGGUUGAUCAGUUCAGAGAUGUGUCACAAUGUCCAUGUAGGCAGAUCUAAGACAAGAGUCCAUCACCUGGGUGAUCCGUGCAGAGAUAUCUCACAAUACACCCUGUAAGCAGAGCCUAGAAAAGAGUUACAUCACCUGGGUGAUCAGUGCAGAGAUAUGUCAUAAACCCCACUGUAAGCAAAGCCUAGACAAGUUUUACAUCACCUCAGCGAUCAGUGCAGUGAUAGCUCCCAAUGUCCCUCUAGGCAGAGCUUAGACAAGAGUCACAUCUCCUGGGUGAUCAGUGCAAAGAUAUGUCACAAAGCCCCCUGUAGACAAAUCCCAGAAAAUUGUUACAUCACCUGGGUGAUCAGUGGAGAUAUCUGUCACAAUUCCCCUUUAGGCGCAGCUUAGACAAGCGUUACAUCACAUGAGUGAUCAGUGCAGAGAUAUGUC
rnacentral:lncRNA from 1 species